rnacentral:rRNA from 1 species
GACGUAGGGCGCGAGCGUUGUCCGGAUUUAUUGGGCGUAAAGAGCUCGUAGGCGGCUUGUCGCGUCGACCGUGAAACCUCACAGCUCAACUGUGAGCCUGCGGUCGAUACGGGCAGGCUAGAGUUCGGUAGGGGAGACUGGAAUUCCUGGUGUAGCGGUGAAAUGCGCAGAUAUCAGGAGGAACACCGGUGGCGAAGGCGGGUCUCUGGGCCGAUACUGACGCUGAGGAGCGAAAGCAUGGGGAGCGAACAGG